GGGCCUGUCGUAUAACGGUUAUUAUACACCGAUGGCAUCGGUGUGACCCGAGUUCGACUCUCGGCAGGUCCA
rnacentral:tRNA from 1 species